rnacentral:rRNA from 1 species
GAUGAACGCUGGCGGCGUGCCUAAUACAUGCAAGUCGAGCGAACAGACGAGGAGCUUGCCCCUCUGACGUUAGCGGCGGACGGGUGAGUAACACGUGGAUAACCUACCUAUAAGACUGGGAUAACUUCGGGAAACCGGAGCUAAUACCGGAUAAUAUAUUGAACCGCAUGGUUCAAUAGUGAAAGACGGUUUUGCUGUCACUUAUAGAUGGAUCCGCGCCGCAUUAGCUAGUUGGUAAGGUAACGGCUUACCAAGGCAACGAUGCGUAGCCGACCUGAGAGGGUGAUCGGCCACACUGGAACUGAGACACGGUCCAGACUCCUACGGGAGGCAGCAGUAGGGAAUCUUCCGCAAAGGGCGAAAGCCUGACGGAGCAACGCCGCGUGAGUGAUGAAGGUCUUCGGAUCGUAAAACUCUGUUAUUAGGGAAGAACAAAUGUGUAAGUAACUAUGCACGUCUUGACGGUACCUAAUCAGAAAGCCACGGCUAACUACGUG